rnacentral:rRNA from 1 species
UACGUAGGGGGCAAGCGUUGUCCGGAUUCAUUGGGCGUAAAGAGCGUGUAGGCGGCCAGGUAGGUCGGUUGUGAAAACUGGAGGCUCAACCUUCAGAGGUCGACCGAAACCAUCUGGCUAGAGUCCGGGAGAGGAGAGUGGAAUUCCUGGUGUAGCGGUGAAAUGCGCAGAUAUCAGGAAGAACACCCGUGGCGAAGGCGGCACUCUGGGACGGUACUGACGCUGAGACGCGAAAGCGUGGGGAGCGAACAGG